GAUGAACGCUGGCGGCGUGCCUAAUACAUGCAAGUCGAGCGAACGGACGAGAAGCUUGCUUCUCUGAUGUUAGCGGCGGACGGGUAAGUAACACGUGGAUAACCUACCUAUAAGGCUGGGAUAACUUCGAGAAACCGUAGCUAGUACCGGAUAAUAGUUUGAACCGCAUGGUUCACAAGUGAAAGACUGUCUUGCUGUCACUUCUAGAUGGAUCCGCGCUGCAUUAGCUAGUUGGUAAGGUAACGGCUUACCAAGACAACGAUGCAUAGCCGACCUCAGAGGGUGAUCGGCAACUCUGGAACUGAGACACGGUCCAGACUCCUACGUGAGGCAGCAGUCGGGAAUCUUCCGGAAGGGGCGAAAGCCUGACGUAGCAACGCCGCGUGAGUGAGGAAGGUCUUCGCAUCGUAAAACUCUGUUAUUAGGGAAGAACAUAUGUGUAAGUACCUGUGCACAGCUUGACGGUACCUUAUCAGAAAGGCACGGGUAACUACGUG
rnacentral:rRNA from 1 species